rnacentral:rRNA from 1 species
AUUGAACGCUGGCGGCAGGCCUAACACAUGCAAGUCGAGCGGAGCGGCGGACGGGUGAGUAAUGUCAGGGAAACUGCCUGAUGGAGGGGGAUACCGUACGGAAACGGGCGCUAAUCCCGCAUCCUAUCAGAUGAGCCUAGGUGGGAUUAGCUAGUUGGUGGGGGAAAGGCCUACCAAGGCGACGAUCCCUAGCUGGUCUGAGAGGAUGAACAGCCACAUUGGAACUGAGACACGGUCCAGACUCCUACGGGAGGCAGCAGUGGGGAAGAUUGGACAAUGGGCGCAAGCCGGAUUCAGCCAUGCCGCGUGUGUGAAGAAGGCCUUCGGAUUGUAAAGCACUUUAAGCGGGGAGGCGUUACCCGCAGAAGAAGCACCGGCUAACUCCGUGCCAGCAGCCGCGGUAAUAC